rnacentral:rRNA from 1 species
AGGACGAACGCUGGCGGCGUGCUUAACACAUGCAAGUCGAGCGGUAAGGCCUUUCGGGGUACACGAGCGGCGAACGGGUGAGUAACACGUGGGUGAUCUGCCCUGCACUCUGGGAUAAGCCUGGGAAACUGGGUCUAAUACCGGAUAUGACCUGCUCUCGCAGUGGGGGUGGGUGGAAAGAUUUUAUCGGUGCAGGAUGGGCCCGCGGCCUAUCAGCUUGUUGGUGGGGUAAUGGCCUACCAAGGCGACGACGGGUAGCCGACCUGAGAGGGUGACCGGCCACACUGGGACUGAGACACGGCCCAGACUCCUACGGGAGGCAGCAGUGGGAAUAUUGCACAAGUGGGACGAAAGCCUGAUGCAGCGACGCCGCGUGAGGAUGGAACGGUCCGUUUACGGGGUUAUAAACCGUC